UACGUAGGGUGCGAGCGUUGUUCGGAAUUACUGGGCGUAAAGCGCACGUAGGCGGACUAUUAAGUCAGGGGUGAAAUCCCGGGGCUCAACCCCGGAACUGCCUUUGAUACUGGUAGUCUCGAGUCCGGAAGAGGUGAGUGGAAUUCCGAGUGUAGAGGUGAAAUUCGUAGAUAUUCGGAGGAACACCAGUGGCGAAGGCGGCUCACUGGUCCGGUACUGACGCUGAGGUGCGAAAGCGUGGGGAGCAAACAGG
rnacentral:rRNA from 1 species